rnacentral:rRNA from 1 species
GACGAACGCUGGCGGCGUGCUUAACACAUGCAAGUCGAACGGUGAAGGGACUGGUUUUGCUGGUCCUGGAUGAGUGGCGAACGGGUGAGUAACACGUGAGUAACCUGCCCCCUUCUUCUGGAUAACCGCAUGAAAGUGUGGCUAAUACGGGAUAUUCUGGGUCUGUCGCAUGGUGGGCCUGGGAAAGAUUGCGCCUUUUUUGGUGGUUUUGGUGGGGGAUGGGCUCGCGGCCUAUCAGCUUGUUGGUGGGGUGAUGGCCUACCAAGGCGGUGACGGGUAGCCGGCCUGAGAGGGUGGACGGUCACACUGGGACUGAGACACGGCCCAGACUCCUACGGGAGGCAGCAGUGGGGAAUAUUGCACAAUGGGCGCAAGCCUGAUGCAGCGACGCCGCGUGAGGGAUGGAGGCCUUCGGGUUGUGAACCUCUUUCGCCAGUGAAGCAGGCCUGCCUCUUUUUGUGGGUGGGUUGACGGUAGCUGGAUAAGAAGCGCCGGCUAACUACGUG